GCAGUAGCCGCGGGAAUACGUAGGUGGCAAGCGUUGUCCGGAUUUAUUGGGCGUAAAGCGAGCGCAGGCGGUUUCUUAAGUCUGAUGUGAAAGCCCCCGGCUCAACCGGGGAGGGUCAUUGGAAACUGGGAGACUUGAGUGCAGAAGAGGAGAGUGGAAUUCCAUGUGUAGCGGUGAGAUGCGUAGAUAUAUGGAGGAACACCAGUGGCGAAGGCGGCUCUCUGGUCUGUAACUGACGCUGAGGCUCGAAAGCGUGGGGAGCGAACAGGAUUAGAUACCCGGGUAGUCCCUGUCUCUUAUAC
rnacentral:rRNA from 1 species